rnacentral:rRNA from 1 species
CAGCCGCCGCGGUAAUACGUAGGGUGCGAGCGUUAAUCGGAUUUACUGGGCGUAAAGCGUGCGCAGGCGGCCCGUUAAGACAGGUGUGAAAUCCCUGGGCUCAACCUAGGAAUUGCGCUUGUGACUGGCGGGCUCGAGUACGGUAGAGGGGGGUGGAAUUCCUGGUGUAGCAGUGAAAUGCGUAGAGAUCAGGAGGAACACCGAUGGCGAAGGCAGCCCCCUGGGCCUGUACUGACGCUCAUGCACGAAAGCGUGGGAAGCAAACAGGAUUAGAUACCCUGGUAGUCCACGCCCUAAACGAUGGGUACUAGCCGUUUGGUGCGCGAUAGCGCUGAGUGGCGAAGCUAACGCGUGAAGUACCCCGCCUGGGGAGUACGGCCGCAAGGUUGAAACUUAAAGGAAUUGGCGGG